AUAGUAAAUACUAACUACUAAAGACAGUCGUGAAUUGUGAAUGAUAACAAACGUACUGAUAAGGAGCAAGACGACAGCCAUUUUUGCGUAUCACAAAGUUGCUGCCACACCUAUUUAUUUUGUCAUGAUGCUUCACACAGCCACGUAUUUGUUUUAAAAAAAAUUUAGAUUGUCUCGUCUAUGUUGGAAAAAGUUAAGUUAAUGUUUGUUUUCUUUUGUUUUCUCUUCCUGUGAGGAUCUGUCAUUUUACGGGUUUUCGCGUAGGGAACAAACGCAAACGGUUUGCCUUCUGUUUAGUUACUGAUACUACAUAAUAUAUUACAAAUUAUGAAGUUGUAUUUAGGUACUUACCUCCGCGAAAACGAGCUUAUAGCUCGAUAGUGAAUUUACCGGUCCAGGAAAUAAAGUUGCGGAUACAAAUAUUUCAUAAAUUUAUCAAAGACAAAUCAAGAUUGGUAACACUCAAACACGACGUUGAAUAUCAUAAUUUGGCUACUCAAGAAGAAGUUUACCGUUGAACCGAAGACACCGACGACUUUUUCAAGUACCUAAUAAUUUUUAGUUUUCACGAUGUACAUUACCAUGCAAACUUCCACCAAAAAUUGGUUUGAACGAGAUCUAAUGGUCAUUUUUUAAAAAUGUAGUUUUCCCUGCAAUCAAUAAGCUACAUGUCUCCUCAAAAACGAGAAUAUUGAAUUGCAUACCAGCAACAAGUGACGAUUCAGCAGAAAUAAUCAUAUUUAAGGAUGAUCGGAAUGAUGUUUGCCUGGAUAUUGAAUCGUGCUUUGUGGCAGCUCAUGGACUUGCAGUAUGAGGAAAACGAGAGAAGUGGCAAUUAUUUCCUCGCCGUCCAUUACUGACAAUCUACUGUAUUGACAUACAACAGUCAUACAAUAUUGAUGAUGCCUAUGAAGAUUUUACAGCAGUAUAUGAAGCUGUCUUCUUUAAACCACUACUGAUGCAUAAUAACUUUCAUUUAAAGGCAAAAACAUUGAGAGGAUAUCACCAAGAUAAUUGGGUACGACAUGGCUACCCAUACAUUUUGUAACACAAAGACAGGGUCUUUGACUAUGGUGGCCGUUGCUGGCAAUUUGAAGUACGUGAAAAUCCAAGCUGUAAGGUAAAAUCUAUAACAGCAUCAGUGAACAAUGAACUCCAUCCCUUCAAUGACUAUCUUAACAAUAAAUUAAAAGUGCCAUUGGAGGUGAAAUUAGUGGCUGUCUAGAGUUUCGGUGAACUGGCUGAACUAGAAAAUGCCUCUUGGCCAUGCUUGCCAUGGUAUGGUCUAAGAAUGUACAGAUGGCAGUUUGGACCAGAAAUUAUAACACACUAAUAGAGCUGGUCUAGCUGUAUUAAAUGAUAAUUGUAUGGUGCUUUAAAAGCACCUCUUAAGUCUUCUGUCGAUGUGUUAGAUUUAUCUACAAUAUCGCCUUAUUGGAAACCAUCAAUUGACAUAUUAGUUAAUCGAAAAAAUUUAAGAGUGUAUAAUAAAUAAUUAUUUAUGUCAUGAAACUAAGUAGGUGGUAUUAAAUGGUUAAAUAGUGUAGGGGUUUUUGACCGCAGCUAGUAAGUACUGAUGAAUGGCGUCUGGUAUCCAUACACCAUUCUUCAGUACUGCGAUCAAAAACCUCUGCACUAUUUAAACUUUCAAUACCAUCAAUACCGCCAACCUUAGUUUCAACUCCUAAAUCUUAUCAUGUAAUUAAUAUAUCAAAAUGGUUUGCAUCUGUUAAUUAUUGGGUUUUAUAUGCUGUUAACUAAUAUUCUAUUUUACAUUAUUUUAAACUCGUAAUACAUUUCCUACAAUGGUUAUCGGAAUAAAAAUAAUCCCCCUUAUGGAAGAAUAUAAAUCACAGAAUAAAUGAACAAAAAAUAAAAUAUUUUGAUAAAUUAAAAUUUUAAAUUAACAAAUAAAUAAUAUACUAAUAUUAAUAUUUGUUUAUAUACUCAAUUCAAUGACCAACACGCCUUUAAUAAACUUGAUUUAAUUUUUUUUUACUUAAGGUAAUUAAAUUAUAAUAUUAUUAAUGUUAUUACCACGGUUAACUACUCAGGUUGGAACACGCCGUAUAUUGACCCACAAUAAACAAUAACCCAGUUUUGUGUACAGCUCUAGCUGUAUGUUCCCUGCAUAUUAACUAUUAAUUAAGCUUUUCAUUGUUAUGCAGCCUGCAAGGAUACCAAAUCAAAUUAUAUUUUUUUUUAUCUAGUUAUUAAUAAUUAGUUUUAAAUUUGUACUGAUUGUAAGAAUCUAAUAUUGAUCUAUCAUUUGAUAAAGUUAUGAGCACUACCAAAUUUCAUACAUUUUGAUUGUUGUGCAGUUUGAAUAUUAUAAUAAUAGUAUUAUUAUACACAGCUGGAUCUUUCUUAUUGAUGUAUAUUUUAUAAGGGCCAUUUAAAAUAUGUACUUGUUUUUCUGGCCAACAUUCAAUUAGAGCAGUGUUUCUCAACCAGUGGUAUGCGGAAAGUAUGCUAAGAAAAUACACUACUAUAAACUACUACAGUACAUUUAAAAAACCCUAAACUUCUAUGAUAUUGAAAUUAUAUGUGAUACAUAUAUUCAAUUUUGGUAUUCAUAUAAUUGUUAGUU